ACUACUACUACUACUACUACUACUUCUAUCACCACCACCACCACCACUAUUAAUACCACUGAUAACUAUUGAUAUGAUCCUGGACUUACACACACACACACACACACACACACACACACACACACACACACAGCAAACACAGAUAUCCAGUUAUUGUGUUCCCUUAUCAGUAUCCUGUGUUUUGUUAUCGAGUUGUGAGUUCAAACAAUCGCGGCGGAGUGACUGUAUUGUGACGGCGUGAAUCAUGCGUCAGUUUGCAGCAAGUGUGUGUUAGUGAAGGUGCCAGUGGCGGUGGUAGUGAGGCUAGCGUACUGUUUUACCAAGUGCCUCGUACAGGUGAAACUAAGGAACUGCAACCGCGCACACACACACACACACCAGCAGCAGACGGAAACUGAGUAGAAAGCAGUGAAAGGAAGAGAAAGAGAGACAGAAAGAAAGACACACAAAAAGAGACGACGAUUUCAACAACAGCGGAAGUAGAAGUAGAUUAGAGAAAGAAAAAAAGAAAGAAAGAAAGAGACAGAGAGAGAAGGUGAGGGAGGAAAUGGAGGAAAAGUAAAGGAAAUAAAA